UACGUAGGUGGCAAGCGUUAUCCGGAAUUAUUGGGCGUAAAGCGCGCGCAGGCGGUUUCUUAAGUCUGAUGUGAAAGCCCACGGCUCAACCGUGGAGGGUCAUUGGAAACUGGGGAACUUGAGUGCAGAAGAGAAAAGCGGAAUUCCACGUGUAGCGGUGAAAUGCGUAGAGAUGUAGAGGAACACCAGUGGCGAAGGCGGCUUUUUGGUCUGUAACUGACGCUGAGGCGCGAAAGCGUGGGGAGCAAACAGG
rnacentral:rRNA from 1 species